UUAGGAAUUUUGCGCAAUGGGGGAAACCCUGACGCAGCAACGCCGCGUGAAGGAUGAAGGCCUUCGGGUUGUAAACUUCUUUUAGCAGGAAAGAACAAAAUGACGGUACCUGCAGAAAAAGCACCGGCUAACUCUGUGCCAGCAGCCGCGGUAAUACAGAGGGUGCAAGCGUUAUUCGGAAUUACUGGGCAUAAAGAGCGCGUAGGCGGUCUAAUAAGUCUGAUGUGAAAGCCCUGGACUCAAUCCAGGAAGUGCAUCGGAUACUGUUAGACUCGAGUAAAGGAGGGGACAGCGGAAUUCCUGGUGUAGAGGUGAAAUUCGUAGAUAUCAGGAGGAACAACAGUGGCGAAGGCGGCUGUCUGGACUUUCACUGACGCUGAGGCGCGAAAGCGUGGGGAGC
rnacentral:rRNA from 1 species